UUCCAUCAAUUUCUUUUGCCUUCAAAUUGUGUGGCAGUUUUAGUUUUUAAAUGUUUAGAUUUUAAAUAGCAAACAUUUCUCAGUAGACAGUUGCUGCGUAUUUCAACACGAGAAAGCGUGUAGCGGCGGUCUAUCAAAAGGAUCGGCGUCGUCAAAGUUGAUGUAAAGAGCAACCAAAAUUAGAUGGGAAACAGCGAGCGAGGCGUGCAAACCCCGACAAUGCAAGCCUCCACACUAGCAAUGAAGCGCAAGCAACUAAUUUUUGACGAAUCCCAAAGCAAGCUGAGCAGGAGCUCAUGAUUAGAAAAUGGCCCUUCACGUCCCGAAAGCACUUGGAUUUGCUUCCAUGUUAAAGGAAGGCGCUCGUGCUUAUUCAGGCCGAGAGGAGCAGUAUACCGGAACAUAUACGCCUGUAAGUUGCGCUCGGAAUGAACAAAAUGAUCAUCAAUCACAUCGAGAAGCAGUUCGUCACUUCCUAUGCGGGCACCAUCAGGGAUGUCGAACAUCCGGCAGCCAAACUGAUGAUCCAGGUCAGCCAGAUGCAGGAAGCCCAAAUGGGAGAUGUUUUCCAUCUUCGUGGUGGUGUUUUGCGGGGCGUUGCUGGAGGCCGCUUAAGAGCUGCUUCGAUUGGGAGUGAUGAUAUUACCGAAGGGUAUGAGAGAGCCCUGGAUCUAGCUUUGGAAGCUCUACCAAGUCUGGUUACAGUGCAAAGAUGACGACCGUUUCGCCAAACACAUGACGAAACACGGGCGCAUAUUUGGUUUCAUUCGUCAGGUUGAUGACUACAUUCUGGAGGAACCGAGUUUCGCCGUGCGUUUGGACUACCGUCCCGAUUACGCCAGAACGUUGGUGUACGUGCGGAACGUGUCACCCCAUUCGGUGUUGCGACUCAGCAGGGCCUACAUCCACCUGGCAGACGGUCACAUGAAGAUGCUGAUUGAAAGCGAGAUGCGCCUUCCUUGGGGUACGGUUUCAAAGUUUUGCUUCGACAGUUGCCUGCUUUCGGAGCUGGAUAGAAGCUACGGACUGAUAUUGGUUGGACUGGCGGACUCAAAGACAGAAAUAUUGGAACUUUACCACCUGCAAGUGACCGUGUUGAGUCAUUUCGUGAAAGAGCAGCUAAUUUUGAAGAAACCAACGAUUCAUUCUCCGCCGUUGAAUCAGUAUCCGGUACCGAUGUUGAUCAAACAUUUGUAUAAGCACGACUUUUCAACGAAAUCUAAAUUUGAUGGCGCGAAGCAACUGCUGGAUCAGUUGGCUAAAUUCAAGGAAGAGGCCUUGAAUAAGGGGAACUAUAUUGAAUAUUUAAAUGUACUGAACCAGAUAGAGGACUUUGAUAUUCAAAUGGAAUAUACUAAGUACAAAAUCGAUGAAGCUAGACUAGUGCCCGGUAUUUCAGAGAAGUAUUAUCGUUUGUCGGGGCCCUCCUUAGCCGUGCGGUAAGACGCGCGGUCACAAAGCAAGACCAUGCUGAGGGUGGCUGGGUUCGAUUCCCGGUGCCGGUCUAGGCAAUUUUCGGAUUGGAAAUUGUCUCGACUUCCCUGGGCAUAAAAGUAUCAUCGUGUUAGCCUCAUGAUAUACGAAUGCAAAAAUGGUAACCUGGCUAAGAAACCUCGCAGUUAAUAACUGUGGAAGUGCUUAAUGAACACUAAG